AGGCCUGAGGUUGGACGCCUCUAC
rnacentral:siRNA from 1 species